AGUAUGGAGAAAAGUGGGAUAGAAACCUCAACAACCCUGUUUCUGGCCCAAGUCACCGGAGAGCUGCUGCUGUCGGAUGCAGGGGCAAGUUCAAGACAGAGGAUUGGUUCAGAGUUUCAAUCACCCCAGCUGUGUUUCAUUCUAACACAGAAGAGAUGGAGAGAGACAAGGAGAGAGCCUGUCACAAGGAAAGCCCUUCUCUGCCUUUGCCCGUACUCUUGCCA
rnacentral:lncRNA from 1 species